rnacentral:rRNA from 1 species
GGAUGAACGCUGGCGGCGUGCCUACUACCUGCACGUCGAGCGAACAGACGAGGAGCUUGCUCCUCUGACGUUAGCGGCGGACGGGUGAGUAACACGUGGAUAACCUACCUAUAAGACUGGGAUAACUUCGGGAAACCGGAGCUAAUACCGGAUAAUAUAUUGAACCGCAUGGUUCAAUAGUGAAAGACGGUUUUGCUGUCACUUAUAGAUGGAUCCGCGCCGCAUUAGCUAGUUGGUAAGGUAACGGCUUACCAAGGCGACGAUGCGUAGCCGACCUGAGAGGGUGAUCGGCCACACUGGAACUGAGACACGGUCCAGACUCCUACGGGAGGCAGCAGUAGGGAAUCUUCCGCAAUGGGCGAAAGCCUGACGGAGCAACGCCGCGUGAGUGAUGAAGGUCUUCGGAUCGUAAAACUCUGUUAUUAGGGAAGAACAAAUGUGUAAGUAACUAUGCACGUCUUGACGGUACCUAAUCAGAAAGCCACGGCUAACUACGUG